rnacentral:ncRNA from 1 species
UUGCGAACUUAAUUGAAUUGAGCCUUGGUAUAGAAACCUAUUAAGUGGUAUCUUCCAAAUUCAGAGAAACCCUGGAAUGAGAAAUGGGCAAUCCUGACCCAAAUCAUGUUUAAAGAAAACAGGGAUUCUUAGAAAGAGGAAAGGAUAGGUGCAGAGACUCAACAGAAGCUGUUCCAACAAAUGGAGUUGACCUCGUCGGUAGAGGAAUAAAUCCAUAUAUAGGACUGUAGAAGGGAUGAUCCUAUGUAUUGGUAUUGAAUUGAAAUAUUCGACGAUUAAUUACGACCCGGAUCCUUUAUAUUACACAUUUCAAAAUUCUUGUGAAUCGAUCCCAAGUUGAAGGAAGAAAUAUUCAUUGAUCAAAUCAUUCACUCCAAAGUCUGAUAGAUUAUUUGAAAAAAUGAUUGAUUGGACUAGAAUAGAAUAAUGAUAGAGUCCCAUUCUACAUGUCAAUCCCGA